rnacentral:rRNA from 1 species
CUACGGGGGGCACCAGUGAGGAAUAUUGCACAAUGGGGGGAACCCUGAUGCAGCAACGCCGCGUGGAGGAUGACGCAUUUCGGUGUGUAAACUCCUUUUAUAUGUCAAGAAAAUGACGGUAGCAUAUGAAUAAGCACCGGCUAACUCCGUGCCAGCAGCCGCGGUAAUACGGAGGGUGCAAGCGUUACUCGGAAUCACUGGGCGUAAAGGACGCGUAGGCGGGUGGGAAAGUCAGGUGUGAAAUCCUACAGCUUAACUGUAGAACUGCACUUGAAACUGGUAACCUAGAGUAUGGGAGGGGGAGAUGGAAUUAGUGGUGUAGGGGUAAAAUCCGUAGAUAUCACUAGGAAUACCUAAAGCGAAGGCGAUCUCCUGGAACAUAACUGAUGUUAAGGCGUGAAAGCGUGGGGAGCAAACAGGAUUAGAGACCCUCGUAGUC